rnacentral:snoRNA from 1 species
UCCAGCAGUAGUCAGCCAUCUGGACAGAACCAUUCCUGGAAUGGUGUUACACUGCUGGGAGAGGAAUGUCUUCUCUUUAUCCGGUUGCCUCCAUCACUGUUCUGGUGGUGUCUGGCACUGGUGCAAGGCAGGACUGUGCUUCCUUGAGCGUGUGCUGAGCAUUCUCCUUGGCUGCUUGGUUCUAGUCUGGGAGCAGACCCA